rnacentral:tRNA from 2 species
GCCUGAGUAGCACAGCAGGUAGUGCGUCUCGCUGUUAACGAGAAGGUCGGAAGUUCGAGUCUUCCCUCAGGCG